GGUCGCAGCCGCUGUUGGGGAGUCGGGUAGUGAUAACGGGGCCUAAAGGGGGGCGGACAUUUUAUCUCCCUGGGACAAGCCGGACACGUGGCGGAGAUCACCGCCCCUCCGGCGAGCAACCGAAAGGCUAAUCAUGUCCAAGUCCAAUCAGCACUGGAUGGGCACAGAAAAGGGACUAGUAACCUGAGCAAUCGCCAAAUCCAUGAACGUUCUCCGAUGACUUCUUCGGGUAUAUCUGAGGCCCAGGCUAGCCAACAACAGUAAUUAAUAAUAAUUAAUAAUAAUAAUAAUGAGUCACAGGGCCAGAGCCGCCCACGGUGGGAAGGAAGGGAACUGAAGGGCCUCCUGUCGCUAGUCUGCUGGAGGGGCGCCAGCCCAGCAGCGCAGGCAGCUCUCUUCCUGUCUCCCCUCCGCUCCAGCCCGCCCCCUCCCUCUCCCCCUCCCCCGUCUGCGGGGUGUCCUUCCCGGCAGGCUUCCUUCCGCCCGGGCAGUCCCAUCCUGUUGAUCCGAGCCUCCUCCGGGGCUGGAGCAGCUGGCCCUGGGCACCUGCUGCCGCCGCCGCAGAGGAAGCCCCCGUCUGCGCCCCCCAGCCGGCAGGCCAGCUUUCCUUCCUGCGGGGGAGCCACAGCCAAGCCCUCCAGCAGGAGGCCAUCGUGUCCAGGAAGAAAUGCACUUUUUUUUUUUUUAAUUUUUACCCUACAAGAGCUCCUUUGCCACCUUGUUGACACCUUUCGAGAUAAUUCAUCGUUCCCCCCUACUUCUCCACACCUCCAUGAUCAGAGCAAAGCAUGCGGCACAUCCAAUUGCCAGAAGUAUUUUACAAAACUAAAUUCUGCCGGCGUUCCACCCAGAUGUGGCCACGUCAAGGUCAUCUUUCUGGUUCCGUGUCUGUCCCAGACCGGGCACUCAAGAUUUUUAAAUGGGUAAAAGAAGACUGUAGGUCGUCUCUGAAGACUUCCUGGGGUUAUGAACAGAAUGUGGACUGAUGCCUAGGCAGAAGCCUGGAUGCUUCCACACCUUUCCUUAGCUUGUAUCAUGGCAGGGCCAGGCCUGGAAAUCUGUCACCUUGGGCGUGAGUGAGAGGAAGUCCGGGGGCAGACACACGCCCCCUUUCCUGCUGUCGGGGCUGGGCUCUCCUUCCAUCAGAACAGUGAAGGAGGUGGGAGGAGGUCAGUUAUGGCUAUUAAAGCACAUUGUACCCAAGAGCCAUCUCUGCGUUCCUUUGCAGUCAGUGGGUAUCAUCAGCAUUCAUCCUCACCCCACCAUGUGCCGGGGACCAGCUGAGCUCGGAGGAACAACUAU